UGCAGAAUCCCGUGAACCAUCGAGUCUUUGAACGCAAGUUGCGCCUGAAACCAUUAGGUCGAGGGCACGUCUGCCUGGGCGUCACGC
rnacentral:rRNA from 1 species